AUUGAACGCUGGCGGCGUGGCUAAAGCAUGCAAGUCGAGCGAACCCGCAAGGGUGAGCGGCGGACGGGUUAGUAAUACGAUCGAACGUGCCCCGAGGUGGGGGAUAGGCGUGGGAAACUGCGCGUAAUACCCCAUGAUCUCUCCGGAGCAAAGGUUUACCGCCUUGGGAUCGGCGAUCGUCCUAUCAGCUAGUUGGCGGGGUAAAGGCCCACCAAGGCGAUGACGGGUAGCAGGUGUGAGAGCACGACCUGCAACAUCGGGACUGAGACACUGCCCGGACUCCUACGGGAGGCUGCAGCGACGAAUCUUCCGCAAUGGGCGCAAGCCUGACGGAGCGACGCCGCGUGUGGGAUGAAGCGCCUUCGGCGUGUAAACCACUGUCAGGGGGCAGAACCAAUGAUCGCCCCCAAAGGAAGAGACGGCUAACCCUGUGCCAGCAGCCGCGGUAAGACAGGGGUCUCGAGCGUUAAUCGGAAUUACUGGGCUUAAAGGGUGCGUAGGCGGCCGC
rnacentral:rRNA from 1 species